GAUGAACGCUGGCGGCGUGCCUAAUACAUGCAAGUCGAGCGAACAGAUAAGGAGCUUGCUCCUUUGACGUUAGCGGCGGACGGGUGAGUAACACGUGGGUAACCUACCUAUAAGACUGGAAUAACUCCGGGAAACCGGGGCUAAUGCCGGAUAACAUUUAGAACCGCAUGGUUCUAAAGUGAAAGAUGGUUUUGCUAUCACUUAUAGAUGGACCCGCGCCGUAUUAGCUAGUUGGUAAGGUAGCGGCUUACCAAGGCAACGAUACGUAGCCGACCUGAGAGGGUGAUCGGCCACACUGGAACUGAGACACGGUCCAGACUCCUACGGGAGGCAGCAGUAGGGAAUCUUCCGCAAUGGGCGAAAGCCUGACGGAGCAACGCCGCGUGAGUGAUGAAGGUCUUCGGAUCGUAAAACUCUGUUAUUAGGGAAGAACAAAUGUGUAAGUAACUGUGCACGUCUUGACGGUACCUAAUCAGAAAGCCACGGCUAACUACGUG
rnacentral:rRNA from 1 species